rnacentral:pre_miRNA from 1 species
AGUGGGAUUUCUGGGUCUUAGGGUGAGUAUAUGUUUUACUUUAAAAGAAGCUGACAAACUGUUUUCCAGAAUGGCUAUGCCAUUUACAUCCCCACAAGUAAU